rnacentral:rRNA from 1 species
CAAGUCGAACGGUAACAGGAAGCAGCUUGCUGCUUCGCUGACGAGUGGCGGACGGGUGAGUAAUGUCUGGGAAACUGCCUGAUGGAGGGGGAUAACUACUGGAAACGGUAGCUAAUACCGCAUAACGUCGCAAGACCAAAGAGGGGGACCUUCGGGCCUCUUGCCAUCGGAUGUGCCCAGAUGGGAUUAGCUAGUAAGUGGGGUAACGGCUCACCUAGGCGACGAUCCCUAGCUGGUCUGAGAGGAUGACCAGCCACACUGGAACUGAGACACGGUCCAGACUCCUACGGGAGGCAGCAGUGGGGAAUAUUGCACAAUGGGCGCAAGCCUGAUGCAGCCAUGCCGCGUGUAUGAAGAAGGCCUUCGGGUUGUAAAGUACUUUCAGCGGGGAGGAAGGCGACAGGGUUAAUAACCCUGUCGAUUGACGUUACCCGCAGAAGAAGCACCGGCUAACUCCGUGCCAGCAGCCGCGGUAAUACGGAGGGUGCAAGCGUUAAUCGGAAUUACUGGGCGUAAAGCGCACGCAGGCGGUCUGUCAAGUCGGAUGUGAAAUCCCCGGGCUCAACCUGGGAACUGCAUUCGAAACUGGCAGGCUAGAGUCUUGUAGAGGGGGGUAGAAUUCCAGGUGUAGCGGUGAAAUGCGUAGAGAUCUGGAGGAAUACCGGUGGCGAAGGCGGCCCCCUGGACAAAGACUGACGCUCAGGUGCGAAA